ACGGGGUGCAGCAGGGGCGAAAACUUUACAAUGCGGGCAACCGCGAUAAGGGGACCUCGAGUGCUGGGUUACAAACCUGGCUGUUGGGCUGCCUAAAAAGCAGUCUAUAGCAAGGGCCGGGCAAGACCGGUGCCAGCCGCCGCGGUAACACCGGCGGCUCGAGUGGUAACCGCUAUUAUUGGGUCUAAAGGGUCUGUAGCCGGCUGGUUAAGUCUCUUGGGAAAUCUGGCCUCUUAAGGGUCAGGCUGCCAGGAGAUACUGACUGGCUUGGGACCGGGAGAGGUGAGAGGUACCUCAGGGGUAGGGGUGAAAUCUUGUAAUCCUUGAGGGACCACCAGUGGCGAAGGCGUCUCACCAGAACGGAUCCGACGGCAAGGAACGAAAGCUAGGGGCACGAACCGGAUUAGAUACCCGGGUAGUCCUAGCCGUAAACGAUACUCGCUAGGUGUCGGCCACGGUGCGACCGUGGUCGGUGCCGUAGGGAAGCCGUGAAGCGAGCCACCUGGGAAGUACGGCCGCAAGGCUGAAACUUAAAGGAAUUGGCGGGGGAGC
rnacentral:rRNA from 1 species